CCUACGGGAGGCAGCAGUGGGGGAUAUUGCACAAUGGGGGGAACCCUGAUGCAGCGACGCCGCGUGGGUGAAGAAGCGCCUCGGCGCGUAAAGCCCUGUCAGCAGGGAAGAAAAUGACGGUACCUGAAGAAGAAGCACCGGCUAACUACGUGCCAGCAGCCGCGGGAAUACGUAGGGGGCAAGCGUUAUCCGGAUUUACUGGGUGUAAAGGGGGCGCAGACGGCGAUGCAAGCCAGGAGUGAAAGCCCGGGGCCCAACCCCGGGACUGCUCUUGGAACUGCGUGGCUGGAGUGCAGGAGGGGCAGGCGGAAUUCCUGGUGUAGCGGUGAAAUGCGUAGAUAUCAGGAGGAACACCGGUGGCGAAGGCGGCCUGCUGGACUGCAACUGACGUUGAGGCCCGAAAGCGUGGGGAGCAAACAGGAUUAGAUACCCGAGUAGUC
rnacentral:rRNA from 1 species